rnacentral:rRNA from 1 species
GAUGAACGCUGGCGGCGUGCUUAACACAUGCAAGUCGAACGAAGCUGUUAAGAGGAAGUCUUCGGAUGGAAUUUUAACAGACUUAGUGGCGGACGGGUGAGUAACGCGUGGAUAACCUGCCUUAUACAGGGGGAUAACGGAGAGAAAUUUCCGCUAAGACCGCAUAAGACCACAGCACCGCAUGGUGCAGGGGUAAAAUAUUAAUAGGUAUAAGAUGGAUCCGCGUCCGAUUAGCUGGUUGGUGAGGUAGAGGCUCACCAAGGCGACGAUCGGUAGCCGGCCUGAGAGGGUGAACGGCCACAUUGGGACUGAGACACGGCCCAAACUCCUACGGGAGGCAGCAGUGGGGAAUAUUGGACAAUGGGGGAAACCCUGAUCCAGCGACGCCGCGUGAGUGAAGAAGUAUUUCGGUAUGUAAAGCUCUAUCAGCAGGGAAGAAAAUGACG